GUGUUUAGUAGAAAGACAAUCCUUUUUUCUUCCAGUCAAUUUUUUCUUUGAUCUACAGAACUUGCUUCUUUUCUCUGAAGUUUUCACAAUACAGCAUGAUAGAAGGAGCACAGAGUGCCAGAGGCAGGGAAUUCCUAUGCUUCACUAGUGACUCAUAAGAAAACUUAAUAGAAGGUCUCUACUGCCUGCUGGCCCUGCAGUACCUGAUUGAUGUGGUCCCAAACUAAAGUAGGCUAACCUUCAUUGAACCAAGCACUUCAGAGCCAUGGGAAGAAGUAUGGGGGAAGGAGUCCUUGUACUCUGGCAAUGAGGAAAACAAACAUUAACAGUGCAAGACACAGUGAGAGUCACAGAUCCAUGGAUGGACGAUCCUUUUGAGGACAAUAGAGGGGGAAUUUGGAUAAGUUUCCUGAGUGAGAAACCUUCCAGAUGGCAAUCUGAAAGUUAGCUGUUCCUUCUCAAA
rnacentral:lncRNA from 1 species